rnacentral:rRNA from 1 species
GACGAACGCUGGCGGCGUGCUUAACACAUGCAAGUCGAGCGGAAAGGCCACUUCGGUGGUACUCGAGCGGCGAACGGGUGAGUAACACGUGAGUAAUCUGCCCUUGGCUUUGGGAUAGCCACCGGGAACGGUGAUUAAUACCGGAUACGACCACUUCUCGCAUGGGAUGGUGGUGGAAAGUUUUUCGGCCAGGGAUGUGC